rnacentral:rRNA from 1 species
CCUACGGGAGGCAGCAGUGGGGGAUAUUGCACAAUGGGGGAAACCCUGAUGCAGCGACGCCGCGUGUGGGAAGACGGUCCUCUGGAUUGUAAACCACUGUCCCCAGGGACGAAGAUGACGGUACCUGGGGCGGAAGCUUCGGCUAACUACGUGCCAGCAGCCGCGGUAAUACGUAGGGAGCGAGCGUUGUCCGGAAGUACUGGGUGUAAAGGGAGCGUAGGCGGGACUGCAAGUUGGGUGUCAAAUCUACCGGCUCAACCGGUAGCCGCACUCAAAACUGCAGUUCUUGAGUGAAGUAGAGGCAGGCGGAAUGCCUAGUGUAGCGGUGAAAUGCGUAGAUAUUAGGAGGAACACCAGUGGCGAAGGCGGCCUGCUGGGCUUUUACUGACGCUGAGGCUCGAAAGUGUGGGUAGCGAACAGGAUUAGAUACCCGUGUAGUC